CUUACUUUAUUUAAAUAUUUGACAGACAUAGGCUAUCUUAAUACAAUUCUCUUGGUUUCAUUGCUUUAGGAAUAAGUUGGCAGUUUUUAUAAUGUUUGUGUUUUUCAUAUUUUUAGGAAUGUGCAAAGGAACUAAAUCUCAGGAAUAUGCUCUCCUUGUCAAUGGAUGGACCGUAUGUCAACUGGAAAUUUGUGAAUCUCCUGCAAAAAGAGCAUGCUGAGCAAUUUGCUGGGACACAAAUUGAAAUUGUCGGAAGCUGUGGUUUACACACCCUUCAAAAUGCAUUUAAGGGUGGUUUUGAAUUGUGGAUGGUGGAAAAAGUGCUUAAAGCACUUCAUUUUCUCUUCCACUGCGCACCAGCCAGAAGAGAAGAUUUCGCUUCUGCAACAGCAACCUCAAAAUUCCCCUUGCCUUUCUGUGGGCAUAGGUGGUUAGAAAAUUUGCCUGCUGUUGAAAGAGCUUUCGAAGUUUGGCCCGCCAUUGUGAAGUAUGUAGACCUUGUGAAGUCAAAGAAGGUGAAGAAUCCAGGGACAUCAUCAUUUGACAGCAUUUGUGAAGCCCAAAUGGAUCCCCUUCUACUGGCCAAAUUCCAUUUUUUCAUGUCGAUAUCACGAGCCUUUCAGCCAUUUCUGGCGAAAUAUCAGACGGAUGUGCCUAUGAUGCCCUUCCUUUGGGAGGACUUGGAAAAUUUGAUCCAGAAUCUCCUUAAACGCUUUAUCAAGCGAGAUGCCCUGCCUCUCACUCCAUACAAGCUUGUUAGGCUUGAUAUUACGGAUCAAAAACUCUGGCUGAGUCCAAAGGAAGUGGACAUUGGAAUGGGUGCCACAGCUGUCAUCAAGGUGGGACUUCAUGUAGAUUCACUGAUAUCUUUAGAUAGAAAUGUGUCAAACAAAUGUGACACUUUGAGUGUGAGCUGUUUUGAUAUGUACA
ensembl:lncRNA